rnacentral:rRNA from 1 species
AUGAUGAUCCCAUUAUUAACUAUUCUCGCAAAACUGCUCCACAGAACCGCUGUUAACCAUUGGUCGUUGAGGAGGCGUAUUCUCAAAGGACCCAUAUCUACUGCUGUGUUAAUGGGGGCGUGGUUUGGUAAUACGCCAAUUUGGCCACUAUUAGUGGAUAAAAUGAUUUCUUUCACCUCACAAUCCCAAAUAAUUCGCUUAGGAGUCAGUACAUAA